UCCUCGGCCGCCGCUCUUCCCCGGCCUACCAGCACUGCUCCAGCCGCCUCCUCCAUAUGUGCACUGCUGCUUUAUCGGUUGACAGCUGCGUGGUUCGCUCGCACGACAGCAGCGGUCUAGGCGACUGCACGAACGAGCAGCCGCCGCCGCCGCAGACGGGAGUCGCUCGCCGCUGCCGUCUCCCCGCCGCCUAGACUCUCCAGGCCGCCGCUGCCUAUAGGUUGUGGAUAAAGAGAAUAGAAAGCAAGAAAUGGGGGAGAUGGGAGAUGCAAUGAGAGCACCGGAGAACAAAGCAAUGUAUUCAAAGCAAGACAUGGACAUACUUGCCGCUUUGGAAGAGAUGCCGUCGAUGAAAUCUAGACAUGUUGGAGUCUCCGUUGACCAGAUGCAUGAAAUUUUGAAGCAUUCCGCUCAUCAAAGGG